UUGUAGAUGCAGGGGAGUGGGCAGGGAAGGGGUAGUUCUAGUGAACUGAACUUCUGCGUCGGUGUAGGCUACACUGUAUUCUUAGAGAGGCACCUAACUUUAGUCAUGCUGUGUGACUUAUUUCAGGAGGUGGGAAAAACUAUUUGGAUUUUUUUUCAUAGAUAAAUUACAAUUUCCUGCAAGUGGAGUAGAAAUAUUCUCGCUUUAAAAAAAUAUUACAGAAGAAAACUUGGCACUGAUUGUGCGUCCCUCUUUCUGAGGCCGUCGGUGAAACGUUUGACAUCUAAAAGCAGGUAAGCCACUGACUAACGCACAUUGUGCCAGUUGCCAGUUCCACUGUGCGUGUGACAGCGGCUAACCUGGUUUUGGGAGAGCCACUCGUCCGUUUCCCACCGCCAGACAGUGUCUACGAGCAGGGAAGAGACCAUGUGGGCAAUGUGCACUCAACAUGAGCUGUGUGCUCCCUGUGCACUAUACUGUCACAUACUGUACUUAUUGUAUAUACUGUAUCUCUGCCUGUAGUAACCAGCAGAUCAUCGUCUACUCUGGCGCGUAUAUGUUUUACUGCCACCUACUGUCAAGAUUAAGGGUAAUGUUGUGUGAAGUUUCUGUUUCAUUUGUGGCUUUGAACAAUGUAACCAAACAAGGACAAGAUGUGAAAAGAGCUAAAAUGUGCAUAAUAUGACCUUUCUGUAUUUUGAUGAUAUUAUAUUUGAUGAAUAAAUUCCAACAUCCUUUUAUGUAGGUGUUUUGUUAUAAUUAAAAAGUAAAAAGUAAAAUGAUGAGGAAAAAACCACCAACACUCAUACAACUGGUUUAGACCAGAUGUAUGUUCUCAUGAAGACUGGUUUCCAGUUUAAGGUCAGGCGUCUGCGGGUGUUCUUGAAGUGAUUCCAGGGUGCCAUUCAGCAAAAGGUUUACUAUCUAUAGACGGUGAAGACUCAACUUUGUUCAAGAUGGAUCUAGAAAACAAAAUGAUCAUUUUGGGGUGGUUUUCCAAUCGUUAAAUGAGCCGUGCCAAACAUUGUUGUCGCUCGUAGUGUCCGUGGGGCGUGUGAAUAAAAGUUUCUACUGAAAUAA